GCUUAAGGCCAUACCACCCUGUCUGUGCCUGAUGUCGUCUGAUCUCGGACUCUAAGCAGGGUUGGGCCUGGUUAGUACUUGAAUGGGAGACCGCCUGGGAAUUCUAGGUGUUGUAAGCU
rnacentral:rRNA from 1 species